GAUGAACGCUAGCGGCAGGCCUAAUACAUGCAAGUCGAGGGAGAAUGUUGGAUUCGUCUGACAUGAAACCGGCGCACGGGUGCGUAACACGUAUGCAACCUACCUUUAACUGGGGUAUAGCUCAGAGAAAUCUGAAUUAAUCACCCAUAAGACUACGACAUGGCAUCAUGAUGUAGUUAAAGCUCCGGCGGUUAAGGAUGGGCAUGCGGUACAUUAGCUAGUUGGUGAGGUAAUGGCUCACCAAGGCUACGAUGUAUAGGGGGUCUGAGAGGAUGAUCCCCACACUGGUACUGAGACACGGACCAGACUCCUACGGGAGGCAGCAGUAGGGAAUAUUGGUCAAUGGACGCAAGUCUGAACCAGCCAUGCCGCGUGAAGGAUGAAGGCCCUAUGGGUCGUAAACUUCUUUUAUUAGGGAAGAAAAAACGGGAUGCGUCCUGUACUGACGGUACUUAAUGAAUAAGGAUCGGCUAACUUCGUGCCAGCCGCCGCGGUAA
rnacentral:rRNA from 1 species